rnacentral:tRNA from 1 species
GGUCAAUUGGCCGAGCGGUGAAGGCGCCUGAUUAAGGCACUGUUCCGAAACGGUGUGGGUUCGAAUUCCACAUUGGCCA